rnacentral:lncRNA from 1 species
CCCAGUUUUCCCAUUUUUAUCCCAUUUUUUCCUGCACAGACCCCUCUGAUCCCAAUUCUGAUCCCAAUUUUCCCUGCACGGACCCCUCUCAUCCCAAUUUUCCCGUUUUUAUCCCAUUUUUCCCUGCAGGGUCCCCUCUGAUCCCAUUUUUCCUUGCACAGACCCCUCUGAUCCAAAUUUUCCCAUUUUUAUCCCAUUUUUCCCUGCACAGACCCCUCUGAUCCCAAUUUUCCCAUUUUGAUCCCAUUUUCCCUACACAGACCCCUCUGAUCCCAUUUCUGACCCAAAUUUUCCCGUUUUGAUCCCGUUUUUCCCUGCAGGGAUCCUCCAUCCCCUUUGGAUGAUCCAGCCUGGAAUGAGCCAGGAUUCCUUUCCCUGCUGGCUGCAGGGGCUGGGAGGGGAAAUCCUGGGAUUCCCAAAUCCUGGGAUUCCCAAAUCCUGGGAUGUGGAUGGGAUUCCCAAAUCCUUGGGAAUAACUCCAGUGCCAGCUGUGAGCUCUGCUGGGGGAAAAUGAAUUCCUGUUCAUUCAUUCAUUCAUUCAUUCAUUCAUUCAUUCAUUCAUUCAUUCAUUCAUUCAUUCAUUCAUUCAUUCAUUCCCUAAAUGAACAAUUCCCUAAAUGAAUUCCCUGAAUGAACAAUUCCCUCAAUGAAUUCCCUGAAUGAACAAUUCCCCCAAUUAGCCAGCUCAGGGCUCAUUGGAGGCUCGGCAGCUCCUCGUUCAUUAGGGAAUGUUUGGGUUUUCCAGGAGCAUCCAGAGGCUUUGGAUCAGCACUGGGAAUGAGGAGAGGCCAGGCUGGGAUUGCCUGGGUCCCAAUCCCAGUCCCAUUCCCAUUCCAUUCCUUGUCCCAUCCCAUUCCCAGUCCUAAUCCCAGUCCCAAUCCCAUUCCCAUUUCCUGUCCCAUCCCAAUCCCAUUCCCAAUCCCAAUCCCAUUCCUGAUCCCAGUCCCAAUCCCAUUCCAUUCCCAUCUCAUUCCCAUCCCAUUCCCAAUCCCAUUCCCAUUCCUAAUCCCAUUCCAUUCCAAUCCCAUCCCAAUCCCAUUCCCAAUCCCAUUCCCAUUUCCUGUCCCAUCCCAAUCCCAUUCCCAAUCCCAUUCCCCUCCCAGUCCCAAUCCCAUCCCAAUCCCAUUCCCAAUCCCAUUCCAUUCCAAUCCAUUCCCAUCCCAAUCCCAUCCCAUUCCAUUCCCAAUCCCAUUCCCAUCCCAUCCCAAUCCCAUUCCCAAUCCCAAAUCCAUCCCAUUCCCAUCCCAAUCCCAUUCCCAAUCCCAGAUUUUGUUCCCCCUCCCUGGGGAUCCCAUGGGACACAGCAGGACUGGGUUCUGCCUGGAAGAAAAUUUGGGAAUUUUGGGAUUGAUUUUCCCCCUUUGGAGCUCUAUUCCCAAUGGCAGCUUGGGGCUGGGAUUCCAGGGAUUGGGAUUGGGAAUCCAGGGAUUGGGAUUGCAGGGAUUGGGAUUGCAGGGAUUGGGAUUGCAGGCCUGAAUCCCAGCUGCAAUUCCUGCAAUUCCUGGUGCACCUGGAGCUUUCUGAGCUGGGAUUCCCCUCCCCCUUCCAGGUUUUCCAUUUUUCCCAAUAAUCCUGGAAAAUCCCAGAGUUUUCCCACAAGAACCAAAUUCCUCCCGAAAUCCUGGGAUCCGGGCUGGGAAUGCUGAAUGAAUGCACGUUAUGGGGUUUUCGUUGGAAUUCUCAUUUAUUUAUUUAUUCAUUUAUUUAUUCAUUUAUUUAUUCAUUUAUUUAUUCAUUUAUUUAUUCCUCCCUCCUCUUUUUAUCCCCGAAAUCCCAAUCCCUGCUGUUCCCAUGCCCAGUUUUGGGCUGGGGUUCCAAAAUGGGAAAAUUGGAUUUCCUGGGAUUCCAAAAUGGGAAAAUUGGAUUUC